CUCCUGGAAAACGGGUGGUAAUGCCGGAUGCUCCGGUUGGAUGCAUGUCCUUCCGGGAAAGGUUCCAUCGGUAUGGGAUGGGGUCGCGUCCUAUCAGCUUGAUGGCGGGGUAACGGCCCACCAUGGCUUCGACGGGUAGCCGGCCUGAGAGGGCGACCGGCCACAUUGGGACUGAGAUACGGCCCAGACUCCUACGGGAGGCAGCAGUGGGGAAUAUUGCACAAUGGGCGCAAGCCUGAUGCAGCGACGCCGCGUGCGGGAUGGAGGCCUUCGGGUUGUAAACCGCUUUUGAUCGGGAGCAAGCCCUUCGGGGUGAGUGUACCUUUCGAAUAAGCACCGGCUAACUACGUGCCAGCAGCCGCGGUAAUACGUAGGGUGCAAGCGUUAUCCGGAAUUAUUGGGCGUAAAGGGCUCGUAGGCGGUUCGUCGCGUCCGGUGUGAAAGCCCAUCGCUUAACGGUGGGUCUGCGCCGGGUACGGGCGGGCUGGAGUGCGGUAGGGGAGACUGGAAUUCCCGGUGUAACGGUGGAAUGUGUAGAUAUCGAAAAAAAA
rnacentral:rRNA from 1 species